GAUGAACGCUGGCGGCGUGCCUAAUACAUGCAAGUCGAGCGAACGGACGAGAAGCUUGCUUCUCUGAUGUUAGCGGCGGACGGGUGGGUAACACGUGGAUAACCUACCUAUAAGACUGGGAUAACUUCGGGAAACCGGAGCUAAUACCGGAUAAUAUUUUGAACCGCAUGGUUCAAAAGUGAAAGACGGUCUUGCUGUCACUUAUAGAUGGAUCCGCGCUGCAUUAGCUAGUUGGUAAGGUAACGGCUUACCAAGGCAACGAUGCAUAGCCGACCUGAGAGGGUGAUCGGCCACACUGGAACUGAGACACGGUCCAGACUCCUACGGGAGGCAGCAGUAGGGAAUCUUCCGCAAUGGGCGAAAGCCUGACGGAGCAACGCCGCGUGAGUGAUGAAGGUCUUCGGAUCGUAAAACUCUGUUAUUAGGGAAGAACAUAUGUGUAAGUAACUGUGCACAUCUUGACGGUACCUAAUCAGAAAGCCACGGCUAACUACGUGCCAGCAGCCGCGGUAAUACGUAGGUGGCAAGCGUUAUCCGGAAUUAUUGGGCGUAAAGCGCGCGUAGGCGGUUUUUUAAGUCUGAUGUGAAAGCCCACGGCUCAACCGUGGAGGGUCAUUGGAAACUGGAAAACUUGAGUGCAGAAGAGGAAAGUGGAAUUCCAUGUGUAGCGGUGAAAUGCGCAGAGAUAUGGAGGAACAUCAGUGGCGAAGGCGACUUUCUGGUCUGUAACUGACGCUGAUGUGCGAAAGCGUGGGGAUCAAACAGGAUUAGAUACCCUGGUAGUCCACGCCGUAAUCGAUGAGUGCUAAGUGUUAGGGGGUUUCCGCCCCUUAGUGCUGCAGCUAACGCAUUAAGCACUCCGCCUGGGGAGUACGACCGCAAGGUUGAAACUCAAAGGAAUUGACGGGGACCCGCACAAGCGGUGGAGCAUGUGGUUUAAUUCGAAGCAACGCGAAGAACCUUACCAAAUCUUGACAUCCUUUGACAACUCUAGAGAUAGAGCCUUCCCCUUCGGGGGACAAAGUGACAGGUGGUGCAUGGUUGUCGUCAGCUCGUGUCGUGAGAUGUUGGGUUAAGUCCCGCAACGAGCGCAACCCUUAAGCUUAGUUGCCAUCAUUAAGUUGGGCACUCUAAGUUGACUGCCGGUGACAAACCGGAGGAAGGUGGGGAUGACGUCAAAUCAUCAUGCCCCUUAUGAUUUGGGCUACACACGUGCUACAAUGGACAAUACAAAGGGCAGCGAAACCGCGAGGUCAAGCAAAUCCCAUAAAGUUGUUCUCAGUUCGGAUUGUAGUCUGCAACUCGACUACAUGAAGCUGGAAUCGCUAGUAAUCGUAGAUCAGCAUGCUACGGUGAAUACGUUCCCGGGUCU
rnacentral:rRNA from 1 species